rnacentral:rRNA from 1 species
AUUGAACGCUGGCGGCAUGCCUUACACAUGCAAGUCGAACGGCAGCACGGGAGCUUGCUCCUGGUGGCGAGUGGCGAACGGGUGAGUAAUACAUCGGAACGUGCCCAGUAGUGGGGGAUAGCCCGGCGAAAGCCGGAUUAAUACCGCAUACGACCUACGGGUGAAAGCGGGGGACCGUAAGGCCUCGCGCUAUUGGAGCGGCCGAUGUCUGAUUAGCUUGUUGGUGGGGUAAAAGCCCACCAAGGCGACGAUCAGUAGCUGGUCUGAGAGGACGAUCAGCCACACUGGGACUGAGACACGGCCCAGACUCCUACGGGAGGCAGCAGUGGGGAAUUUUGGACAAUGGGGGCAACCCUGAUCCAGCAAUGCCGCGUGUGCGAAGAAGGCCUUCGGGUUGUAAAGCACUUUAAGUCGGGAGGAAGGGCUGUAGGUUAAUACCUUGCAGCCUUGACGUUACCGACAGAAUAAGCACCGGCUAACUUCGUGCCAGCAGCCGCAGUAA